UUUUUUGUAUACUUCUGUAAAGUGGAACGGUGGUCGUAGAACUGCCACCUUGCUGGCCUCUUAAGAGAGGUUUUGGGAACACGAGCAGCUGAGCAGCAGAGCAGGCACGAGUGGAGAAGCAAGGAGAGGUAGAGGGGUGGCCGGUGGCGGUACGGAAAGCUAAAGGGUACCGAGUUGUUUCGGCGGAGGUGGAGCUGGGGUUUGGGAUCGGACUCGUUCGGGUUGUUAGGUUUGGGGAAGGAGGGGUAGGUCUGGGUGGAGUGGAGGAAGCAGAGGAGGGAGGGGGAGGGUGCCCGGUAACGCGGCGGUACCCGAGCGUAGGGGAGGGGUAGAAGCAGCCGCCGCGACGGUCAGCGUCUCUAGCUCCCGGCCGAGCGGCCCCACGGGCACAUGCGAGAGCGAUUGAGGCGGGUCCUUAAGUACGAACACAGCUUUUGGGUGCCCCCGCCCCUACACCCGCCUUCGCGCUCCGCAGGUGGUCGCGAGCCCUACGAGACGAAGGCCUCCCUCCUGCGGCUAUACGAGGAGCGUGUUUACCUGCUGCUAUACGCGCGACCGAGGUGGCACCAUGGACAACGCGAGUUGUUCCAAUAGGUUGACUUCAGACUACCACACCGUAAAUCUAAAGAAGGACUAGGAAGAGUCCACCGAUUACGUUAAUUCAACUACGUUCUACCUCCCCUUAAAUACUUACUCCCCAAAGGUCCUCAAGGACAAAAGGUCAGUUCCUCGGAACAAGAUUCCUUACUAUUGUUCUCUAUAGCCGGUCAAAAGAAAUCUUUCCUCCUGAAUCUGUUCAGUGACGUGGCUCGUAGAUCACUGGUCGUUUUCGGAUAGGGACGACAAUCCUAACCACUGUGUGUCCAAAGAAGAAACCUCCUAUAGUAGUGUAGUUACUUCCUAUCGAGGAGGAGCUUUACCCUACUACGGCAAAAAUAAGGAGGUCCAAAGCUGUAUCGAUAACCGAGUCUCGGUAGUGUGGAGUUGUUCAUCUAUAAAGACAUGUAACUCCCACCAGUCGACCAUAACAGAGCUUUUAUCAACUUGUACCUAUACCAUCUAACUAUCAUAUAUACAAGUACGGGAAAUGUGGUACUGGACUACACACUGAGUAAAAGUUCCAACAGUAAGGGACGCAAUCGUUAUGCAAGCCGUUUCAUCUGGCCUUCCACUUGUUUGGAGUAGCUUUCAUCUGGUCUUUCAUUUAGCUAGCAGUAUGGAACAAAGAAGAUACGUAUUAUAGCUUUAAUACGUACAUGACACGCAGCGAGUGCUCAAACCGCAGUCGUUGAAACGUCUCCGUUACAAAGGGUACACAAGUGGCACUUACUACACUUACCUAGAUUGAUCCGGUCAACGUGUUCUGAGGAAACACGUCAGUUAAAUUAUGAGGG
rnacentral:rRNA from 1 species